UGGGGAAUUUUGGACAAUGGGCGAAAGCCUGAUCCAGCAAUGCCGCGUGUGUGAAGAAGGCCUUCGGGUUGUAAAGCACUUUUGUCCGGAAAGAAAUCCUUGGCUCUAAUACAGUCGGGGGAUGACGGUACCGGAAGAAUAAGCACCGGCUAACUACGUGCCAGCAGCCGCGGUAAUACGUAGGGUGCAAGCGUUAAUCGGAAUUACUGGGCGUAAAGCGUGCGCAGGCGGUUUGCUAAGACCGAUGUGAAAUCCCCGGGCUCAACCUGGGAACUGCAUUGGUGACUGGCAGGCUAGAGUAUGGCAGAGGGGGGUAGAAUUCCACGUGUAGCAGUGAAAUGCGUAGAGAUGUGGAGGAAUACCGAUGGCGAAGGCAGCCCCCUGGGCCAAUACUGACGCUCAUGCACGAAAGCGUGGGGGAGCAAAACAGGAUUAGAUACCCUGGUAGUCCACGCCCUAAACGAUGUCAACUAGUUGUUGGGGAUUCAUUUCCUUAGUAACGUAGCUAACGCGUGAAGUUGACCGCCUGGGGAGUACGGUCGCAAGAUUAAAACUUAAAUGAAUUGACGGGGUC
rnacentral:rRNA from 1 species